ACGGUAGGCCUGCCCCUUACAUACAGUACGAUGGCUACUAUGGAAGGCCGGUCUAUGAUAGUUACGGCGGUGGGAGGAGCUAUAGUACUAGUUACUACGUGACCCGCCCCGAUUGUUUCAGAGAAGAAAAUCCCCAAGCGUGCGCCAUCAUGUAAUAAAACCAUACGUACCUACCUACUGUGCCUUUUGCUGCCUUUGUGGGGAAGUUUCCAUCAGCUCGAUCGGUGGUCCUUCAUUUUUAAGUUGUACGACGUUGAAGUAAAGAAUAAAGUGCGGUUGGUGAUGGUGGUGGACAAGUCGCGAUCAGAUUAUCCCAGCCAUCCCACUAUAG
rnacentral:lncRNA from 1 species